UACGGGGGGGGCAAGCGUUGUUCGGAAUUACUGGGCGUAAAGGGCUCGUAGGCGGCCAACUAAGUCGGACGUGAAAUCCCUCGGCUUAACCGGGGAACGGCGUCCGAUACUGGAUGGCUUGAGUUUGGGAGAGGGAUGCGGAAUUCCAGGUGUAGCGGUGAAAUGCGCAGAUAUCAGGAAGAACACCCGUGGCGAAGGCGGCUCUCUGGGACGGUACUGACGCUGAGACGCGAAAGCGUGGGGAGCAAACAGG
rnacentral:rRNA from 1 species